rnacentral:rRNA from 1 species
UUUUAAGGUCUGACCUGCCCAGUGAUUAUUAUUAAAUGGCCGCAGUAUUUUGACUGUGCAAAGGUAGCGUAAUCAUUAGUUUUUUAAUUGAAAGCUUGUAUGAAUGGUUGGACGAGGUAAAAACUGUCUUUAUUUAAUUUAAUAUAGAAUUUAACUUUUGAGUGAAAAGGCUCAAAUUUUAUUAAUAGACGAGAAGACCCUAUAGAUCUUUAUAAAUUAAUUAUUGAUUAUAUUAAGAUUAUUUAUUAGUUAAUAAUGAAAUUUAUUUUAUUGGGGUAAUAUAAAGAUUUAAUAAAUUCUUUGAAGUUUAAACAAAGAUAAUUGGUUGAUUGAUCCAUUAUUAAUGAUUAUAAGAUUAAGUUACCUUAGGGAUAACAGCGUAAUUUUUUUAGAGAGUUCAUAUCGAUAAAAAAGUUUGCGACCUCGAUGUUGGAUUAAAAAUUAUUCUGGGUGAAGAAGUUCAGAAAUUUGGUCUGUUCGACCAUUAAAUUUUUACAUGAUCUGAGUUCAGACCGGCGUAAGCCAGGUCGGUUUCUAUCUUUAGUUUAUGAAAAUAUUUUAGUACGAAAGGACCAAGUAUUAAAUACAAAGUAUUUAUGUUUUGAAUUUUAUUGUUACUUUGGCAGAAUAGUGCAAUGAAUUUAGAAUUCAUGAAUGUAAGUUUAUUUACAGGUAAUAUUUGUUUAUAGGUGACUUGAUUUUUAUGGUAGUUUGUAUAUUGUUGUUAGUUAUUUGUGUUUUGGUGGGAGUGGCUUUUUUGACUUUACUUGAACGAAAGGUUCU